rnacentral:rRNA from 2 species
GUGACCUCAAAUCAGGUAGGACUACCCGCUGAACUUAAGCAUAUCAAUAAGCGGAGGAAAAGAAACUAACAAGGAUUCCCCUAGUAACUGCGAGUGAAGCGGGAAAAGCUCAAAUUUAAAAUCUGGCAGUCUCUGGCUGUCCGAGUUGUAAUCUAGAGAAGUGUUAUCCGCGCUGGACCGUGUACAAGUCUCCUGGAAUGGAGCGUCAUAGAGGGUGAGAAUCCCGUCUUUGACACGGACUGCCAGGGCUUUGUGAUGCGCUCUCAAAGAGUCGAGUUGUUUGGGAAUGCAGCUCAAAAUGGGUGGUAAAUUCCAUCUAAAGCUAAAUAUUGGCGAGAGACCGAUAGCGAACAAGUACCGUGAGGGAAAGAUGAAAAGAACUUUGGAAAGAGAGUUAAACAGUACGUGAAAUUGCUGAAAGGGAAACGCUUGAAGUCAGUCGCGUUGGCCAGGGAUCAACCUUGCUUUUGCUUGGUGCACUUUCUGGUUGAUGGGUCAGCAUCAAUUUUGACUAUUGGAAAAAGGUCAAGGGAAUGUGGCAUCUUCGGAUGUGUUAUAGCCCUUAGCUGCAUACAAUGGUUGGGAUUGAGGAACUCAGCACGCCGCAAGGCCGGGUUUAACCA